rnacentral:snRNA from 1 species
AUACUUGCUUCAGCAGUAUGUUUGCUAAAAUGGGAACAAUAAGAGAAGAUUUGGCAUGCCCCUCUAGAAGUAUGACACAUAAAUUUAUGACGCUGUUUGUAUUUUC